rnacentral:rRNA from 1 species
UACGUAGGGGGCUAGCGUUGUCCGGAAUCAUUGGGCGUAAAGCGCGCGUAGGCGGCCAGAUAAGUCCGGUGUGAAAGUCAAAGGCUCAACCUUUGAAUGCCGCUGGAAACUGUCUGGCUUGAGUCCGGAAGGGGCGAGUGGAAUUCCUGGUGUAGCGGUGAAAUGCGCAGAUAUCAGGAGGAACACCAGUGGCGAAGGCGGCUCACUGGACCGGAACUGACGCUGAGGCGCGAAAGCGUGGGGAGCAAACGGG